GGCUUUAAGUUUGGAGUGAUCUUGGUUGCUUCUGGAUUUGUCACACAGGUGGGCUGCUGCUGGCUGGUUGUGGUUGUUUUAUGUCCGGGUAUAACUUGUCUUUGCUCAGAUAUGCGCUGUUAAUGUGAUCCAACCAGAGAAAACCAUGCAGGUGUUUUUUGAUUGAAAAGUAUUCAUCUUGAGAUAAUAGUUUGAAACUUGUUCAUCUGUGCAGAAAGCUACAGCUAAUGAGACUUCGAAUUUGAAGUGCCUGUAAAAGAGAAUUUGGACUUUCAUUUUGAAAAUGUGAUUACUCAACCUUUAAUAAGACAUAUUCAGCAGUCUUGAGGAACUCUUUGGAACCUUUCAAGGAGCCUACAAUUCAGCUCUCUUUGGCAGUGUUUCACUUGAAGUAAUAUGGGAAGAAAAAUCUUUGUAAUACAAGACUUGGUUGCUGAAAUUUCCUUACACAGUGUUGUACAGUGACAAGGUGAUGUGUCCAGGCCCAGAAUAUCUACAUGGAAUAAUUUGGUAUGUAGUUUAGCAUUAAUCUUUUAAUCCUCCAUUUUCCUCUCUAAACUACGUGCUUUGUCAGGUGAAGUUUAUUGAUAAGAAAUUCCAUCAGAGGGCUGAUUUAUGUGCUUAAUUUGUUUUUUAGAAUUAGAUCUAUGUUCCAACUGUGUAGCAGAUACCUGUUGCAGAUACACGCACAUCCCAGAUUUCUGGUUCUCACCACUAGCUCCAGAGAGAGGUUGGUUGUUGAGCUCCAUGGCUUUAGCUUACAGGAGGAAAGGUUGGGGAAGAUGAGGGGAUCUUGGCCUUUACCAAUACCUGUACUUUACAGGUACUUGUCUGCACUCAGAACUUUAAGUACUUUGAAUUCUCAGAGGUAAUUGUGGAUGUAGUUACUGUGCAGGGAGAAAUAUUCUUACAGAUCUCUUAGGUUUCUGCUAUUUAUUGGAGGUGGAGGAUACCUUCUCUGGCUUUGUGUUCACACUGCUUUGACAAGCUAGAUUGAGCACAGGAAGAAUGAGUGAGUGUAUCUAAAUCAGCUGCAGUACCUGGAAGAGCUCUGCUGCAGGAGUGUACCUUGCUUCCUGCAGGAGGUGUUAUCCAUAGGUAUGAAUCACCUGCUGCCUUGCCUUUUGAGAAUUUGUUUGUUCUGUCAGUGGAGUUAAGGUUUAGGUCAGGACAGAGCCAAUGGCUUCGCGAGUCUGUUUAUAUCCCUGAAGACACACACACACAUUAUGGCUGUGCCUCAGAGCAACAAAUCUUAACAAAUCAAUGGAUCCACUCCUUGAUGCCACCCGCUGAGGGAGCCACCUGUCGCAGGACCGCGGAUUCAGAUGCGGCCAGCAGAGAGGUCUGCUCAGAGCUUGCAAAUUUGCUGUUGAAUUUCUGAAACCUGCUGGCCUGGUGUGUUUUCCCCAGUGUUGAGCAAGCACUAAUGUGAUUAGUAUCUGGCAUUUCUUUGUCUAUUUGACAUCACCAUAGUAUUUCUAAAAGAGUAGGUUUUGCCCAUUGGAAAAAAAAAAAAAAAGAAAAAAAAAUAAUUUUUUUUAAACCAGAAAUGUACAGUCUGUUUUAUGUGGAAAUGUUAAUUAUUCCUUUUGAUAUAUUUCUCUCUGUGGCAUAUGGGUGUGAUACACUGUAGUUUAUGGUGGUUUAUUUUGCUACUUACAUCCAAGAUAACCAUAGGCGUAAGAGUAAGCUGUUAUGGCUUUUACUUACUUUCUUUUUAUUAAAUAAGUUAGCUGCUUGUUUUCAGAUUGGUUUUAGCUAUUUACGUUUUUUUCCUAAAAUGAUAUUUUGAUGCUGUCUGAUCCCUCUGCUGUUGCUCCUGAUGGUUUGGUAUUUAUUGGGAUGUAGGAAUCAUGGUGAGGAUAUUGAACUGCGUUGGUCUUUUUUUUCUUUCUUUCACAUGGUCAUUUAGAUUUAGCCAUCUGCUUGUCUAAUAGUGGGAAUGCUAAAGAAAGACAUUUUCUUUUCAGCUCACAUAUGAAUUGUACUUUCAGAUAGAGGUUAUUCACUUGCAAAUAUGAAGAUUGAGCUAUGAUUCUAUAGCAUUAUGUAUAAAAUC